CUAGGCGACCCUGCCCACCCAUCGAAGGCCCGAUUCAUUCCUCCUUCCCCUCCCUCCCGCAUCGCCGCCGCCGCCGCCAACCACGUCCCAUAGUCGCCACAACCGGCGAUCUCGUCUCCCCCCAUCACAAGAGAAUACAAGAGAAGAGGAGAGGUAGGUCGGGCAUCCAGGUCGGUCAGGUGGCGGCCAGAUCCACCAGGAGAUGAUAGGAAUCCUUCUGCCUUUUUCUCGCUCCGCGCCCUCGAUGCCAUGCCAUGGAUCGAGCUUCACGCGCCCCAGCCAUCAGGAAGACCAAAGCGGAGGUGGCGCCGUGGGGGAUCGAGAAGUGGUGGUGGACGCACAUCGCCUCACCACCGGAGGUCUCGAGGUAAGCAGAGACGGUGCCUGCUACGGUCCCCGGCCGCGGCGGCAGGUUCAAUUCCCGCACCAUCCAUGUAUCACCGCUCCCGCACCAUCCAGCAGCCUCGCUAGUGUGUAAUAAGAUGUGCUAAUGACUACUCGAUGAUCUGUGAGCUGUUCCACUUCAUUCACUGCACCAUAUAUGUGCCUAAUCAUUAACAUUGAAAGAUUAGCACAUGAGCACAGUGUUGCAUAUAGAUUCUGAUGGAUCCUACGGAGAAAGGCAGAAGUUCAGAUAUGGGGUUGUAUGAAACUGUUGCCUCCCUGUACAUGGAUGUACGAAAAUCGAUGAGUCGUUUUCUCUGUUUGUAUGCUAGUGGAAUCAGCCAAAUACGUCAUAUGUAUGUCAAGAAGUAAUCUUUCCCCGUUGCUGAGUUUUCCUAAGAAUGAUAAGUAUGGU
rnacentral:rRNA from 1 species